rnacentral:lncRNA from 1 species
GGAGUUUCUGGUAAUCAGGGUGACAAGACAUUUUGGGAAUUUCAGGUGGAUUGAAUAUGGUUUAGAAAUAACUGGUCCAGCCCGGUCUUAGGCUUCUUCACUUCCUGAGGGUGUGGGCGACUUAGCUAUAUAAAGGGGCACUCUGCUCCAUUGUUGCUAUCCUCCUCACACUCAAAUCCCCAACAGCUCUGGAGAAUCAAGUUCCCUCAUAUCCAGAAAGAUGUCCUAUCAGCAGCAGGAGCAAUGCAAGCAGCCCUGCCAGCCCCCUCCUGUGUGCCCACCUCCCAAGUGUCCAGAGCCAUGCCCACCUCCUAAGUGUCCAGAGCCAUGCCCACCUCCGGAGAUUCCACCUCAACUCUGCCAGCAGAAGUGUCCUCCUGUGCAGCCACCACCACCAUGCCAGCAGAAGUGACCACCCAAAAGCAGCAAGAGCAAAAGCCAUUAAGGCCACAAUGCAAGAAAAACAAAUAGUUCCUCCCAUCUCCAGCAGCUUCGUCGCCUCUUCUCUGAAGCCUGUCCUGGUGGCGGAUGGUGCUCCCUGAGCCUCUAUCCUGCUCUUCCUGCGGUGAUGCUUGACAUAAAAGAGACUUAAUCCUAAAGGAACUCUCUUUCUUUUUAGGGUCAGAUUCCUGUCUGAGAUAGGGCCAUUCUUGGGGAUGCCAGAGCCCUAGAGCCCCAGAUAAAAGAGCAACAGGAACAAGUCUAACUUCCUUAAAAUGCAGCCUUUCUUUUCUGUGUGUCUGAGAUCUGGGCAACCCUUUCUGUGGUCUGGGAAACAUAGCUUUGCUCCUGUUUCCCUAAUAAAGCAUGUUUCAUGAUGGAACAAAUGCCUUUCUUCUUUAAUCCUGGUUGUUAGCUGUAUCAGACUAGUAGGCAAUUAUUUGUUUUUUUAUCAGAUCUCUGAAUUCAGAUGACGUAGUAAUCAUAGUUCAUUGGGUUUGGCUUGAAACGUGUCUGUUUAGAUUGAGUACAGGAAUAAGUCCUUUUUUUUUUAGCUCAAUGCCAACUCUGCUUGUUACAAAUGAUGUGUUCUUAUUUGGAGAGAGAAAAUGAUACCUUCAACUCAGGGUUGUUGUAAGAAUCUAUCCAUUUCUUUAGUCAUUCAUCUGUUAAAAAUACAUUUGUUGAGUGUGUACUUUGCACCUGGUACUCUUUUAGGUGCAAGGGAUACAGUGGUGAACAAAACAUAUAAAUACUUUGAGUUUUUGGAGGUUAAAUUAUACUGAACGAAACAGACUAGUUAAUGAAUAUUUAAGCUAACAUAUAAUAUCAGUUGGUAAUACUGUAAAUAUUCUCAAAAAAAUGAAAGCAGAGUCAGAGGAUAGAGAGUAAUGGGGAAGGGAAUUGGGGGUUGCUGGUUUGAGAGCCGUGAGUGAAAUAAGCAAGACAUGGGGGUUUGAGGUGUAUAUUCUUCCAAGGAGAGGGAAUAGUAAGGGAGACAAUGGCCAUAGGACGUUGAAGGGGCCAGUAACUGUAGUAGAGUUUGUAGGAGGGAGAGCGAUGGAGAAUGAAGUAGCCAGAGGCCGGAUCAUGCAGGGAAUUGUUGAACUUUGUAAGGGUUUGGGAUUUUGUUCAAGUAUUAGUGAAUAUUAUGCACUAAAUUUUAUGUCUACUAAAUUCUCCCCUAUCAUGUCUCCUUGCUUAUGCAGGAUAUUCUAACAUAAUAAAUUAUAUUUGCAACAUUAUGACUGUAAAAGGUAUUUGGUUAUUUAAACGUUUUAAUGAAAAGGUUCAAAUAUUGAUGAGUCAGUUUUAAAGUUCAUUGGCAAACAUGGAAGUUUACUUUUAACUGCUAACAGAUAAUUUGUCAAUUGUCCCCCCUUGAAAGGAAAUUUAAACAAUUCAUCUUCAAGUAAUCUGUGAUUUCUCAUAGCUCACAAAUUGUUCCUACUGAGGUCCACAUGCCUACGGGAAUGCUGGAGUGUAGAGUUACAUGAGUCGACGUGAAAUCACUCGAGUUGUGGGUUUUUUUUUUGAAGAUUGGCCCUAAGCUCACAUCUGUUGCCAAUCUUCCUCUUUUGUUUUUUCUCCCAAAGCCCAAG